rnacentral:rRNA from 1 species
GACGAACGCUGGCGGCGUGCUUAACACAUGCAAGUCGAACGAAGUGGCGAACGGGUGAGUAAUAUGUGGGUAACUGCCCUACUUUUUGGGAUAAGCCUUGGAAACGGGGUCUAAUACCGAAUAGAGGGGGAUGACUCGCGUCCUAUCAGCUUGUUGGUGGGGUAGGGGCAUCCCAAGGCGACUACGGGUAGCCGGCCUGCUAGGGCGACCUGCCACGUGGGGCUGAGAUACGGCCCAAACUCCUCCGGGAGGCAGCAGUGGGGAAUAUUGCACAAUGGGGGAAACCCUGAUGCAGCAACGCGCGUGGGGGAUGAAGGCUUUCGGGUUGUAAACCUCUUUCGCUAUCGAAAGGGUAGGUGGAGAAGAAGCGCCGGCUAACUACGUGCCAGCAGCCGCGGUAAUAC